UUGGUCAAGAGAGGAUUUUGCUGGAGACC
rnacentral:piRNA from 1 species